CAGCCGGGCGGGAUUUUCCCAGCUCCGGAGGCUCCGGCUCAGGAUCUCAUCCCAGUUUUCUCCAUCCCUGGCACAGAUGUCCCCGAGGUCGAGGUGGCCCUGGAGGACAACCUGGUGAGACAUGGGGGUGUUCCUGCCCCGUCCCAAACCCGGCCCUCUCCUUUCCCUCCCCAUCCUGCUGUUGCCGGUUUUCCCUCACCCACGAAUCCCCACAUUGCACCAGGCACAGUCCUGCCCCAUCCUGCUGCUCCAUCCCCCCGUUUUCCACCGGGAAUUCUGUCACGAAGGGAGCAGCACCCAGACCCAUCCCACAUCCUCCGUGCCUCAGUUUCCCCGUUCCCAAGGGUGUUCCUGCCCACCCCCCCCCAGAAUCCAAGUCCAUCCUAACUCCACGCUCUUCCCGCAGGAAGAGGAUCCAGUCCAUCCCAAAAUCCAGAGUGUCUCCAGCCUCGAGGAGAUCCACGUGGACCAGCCUCUGCCGUGCUCCUCCUGUACCAAGCGGCCGCUUCCCUGCGUGGAGAGGGGCAGCCAGAUGUCCCCCAAAAUCAUGAAGUUGGAAUGUGACCAUGAGGCAGGUCCCAGCCGUCCCCAGUCCCACUGGGAAUUCCAGACGGAGCCCGGCCCCUCCACGUGGCAGCACAACUGCGUCCGCAGCGGUGACGCAGGUGGGGACCGGGAAUGUCACCGUCCCCAUUAUCCCAUUUCCCCCCAUCCCGUGGGAUCUUUCCUGGCCCUUCUGCACCUCCAUUCAGCGGGAAUCGUGGCCAAGGAUGUGGAUACUCCAGAUCUAUGGGGUGAGGGAUCCGUGGGGUGAGGGAUCCAUGAGAUGAAGGAUCUAUGGGGUGAGGGAUCCAUGGGAUGAAUGAUCCAUUCGGGAUCCAUGGAAUGAGGGAUCCAUGCAAUUCGGGAUCCAUGGAAUGAGGGAUCCAUGGAGUGAGGGAUCCAUCUAAUUCAGGAUCCAUGGGAUGAGGAAUCCAUAGAAUUCAGGAUCCAUGGGGUGAGGGAUCCAUGAGAUGAAGGAUCUAUGGGGUGAGGGAUCCAUGGGAUGAGGGAUCAAUGGGGUGAGGAAUCCAUGGGAUGAGGGAUCCGUGGAAAUUGGGAUCUGUGGAAUUUGGGAUCCAUGGGGUGAGGAAUCCAUGGGAUGAAGGAUCCAUGGAAUGAGGAAUCCAUGGGGUGAAGGAUCCAUGGGAUGAGGGAUCCAUUGGAUGAGGGAUCCAUGGGAUGAGGGAUCCAUGGAAUGAGGAAUCCAUGGAAUUCAUGAUCCAUGGGAGAAGGAAUCCAUAGUAUUCAGGAUCCAUGGGAUGAGGGUUCCGUGGUGUGGGGAAUCCGUGGGGUGAGGUAUCCAUGCAAUUCAGGAUCCAUGGAAUGAGGGAUCCAUGGAAUGAGGGAUCCAUGGAGUGAGGGAUCCAUCUAAUUCAGGAUCCAUGGGAUGAGGAAUCCAUGGAAUUCAGGAUCCAUGGGAUGAGGGAUCUAUGGGAUGAGGAAUCCAUAGAAUUCAGGAUCCAUGGGGUGAGGGAUCCAUGAGAUGAAGGAUCUAUGGGGUGAGGGGUCCAUGGAAUUCAGGAUCCAUGGGAUGAAGGAUCCAUGAAAUGAGGAAUCCAUGGAAUUCAUGAUCCAUAGGAUAAGGAAUCCAUAGUAUUCAGGAUCCAUGGGAUGAGGGUUCCAUGGGAUGAAAGAUCCAUGGAAUUCAGGAUCCAAGGGAUGGGGGCUCCAUGGGAUGAGGGUUCCGUGGAAUUCAUGAUCCACAGAGUCACCACCGUUCCAGGGGCUGCCCCCAAGCCCUGGUUGCUUCCUGAUGUGAAACUCGGGAUCGUUGAUCCCGUGGGAUCUGGAAUUUUGGGAUUUCCCUUGCAGAGGUCGGCAGCAUCAUCAUCUGCAGCUCGGACGACAGCGACGAGGACACCGUGGUGGUGACGGUGACACCGGAGCCACCCCCGUGCUGAUGCCCCAGGGAAUCAUCCGGCCUCAUCCCAGAAUUCCCAGAUUUCCGCUUGGACUUUCAUCUUCUUGGCCAAUCCCAAAUUUAUUCUUGGGCUGAGCUCCCGGUCUUCCGGAGCGGCCCCAAAUCCCUCUGGAUCUGCUGAGAUCUCCCCUUCGAGGCUUUGAGGUUUCUUGGCAAUGAGGAUCUUCUCCCAAAUCCCAUCCAAGUUGUUCCCAAAAUAAAAUUUGGGAUGGGAUUUGGGAUCUGUGCUGGCAGAUCCCAUUCCCAAGCCCCCCCAAAUGGGGAGAGAUGAUCCCAAGGGUGGGAUCUCCUCUGGGAUCCAGAGCAGGGAAUUCCUUAGGACUGGGGUUGGGAUUGGGGUUGGGGUUGGGAUCAGGGUUGGUUUUCCAGUGUAACGAGGCACAAAAAAUCCCGUUUUUUUAAUGUCUCCCCCCUAUAAAGCUGUUCUGGGAUAAAAUUCCAGCCCUGCUGUCUCUCCCUCUGUUGGUUCCUCAAGGGUGUCCCCAUAAGUGACAUUUUCC
rnacentral:lncRNA from 12 species